UACGGGGGGAGCAAGCGUUGUUCGGAUUUACUGGGCGUAAAGGGCGCGUAGGCGGCCACCGCAAGUCAGUUGUGAAAUCUCUGGGCUUAACCCAGAACGGUCAGCUGAUACUGCGGGGCUAGAGUGCAGAAGGGGCAACUGGAAUUCUCGGUGUAGCGGUGAAAUGCGCAGAUAUCAGGAAGAACACCCGUGGCGAAGGCGGUUCUCUGGGACGGUACUGACGCUGAGACGCGAAAGCGUGGGGAGCGAACAGG
rnacentral:rRNA from 1 species